rnacentral:tRNA from 1 species
GGCGUUAGUUCAGUUGGUUAGAAUGCCGCCCUGUCACGGCGGAGGUCGCGGGUUCGAGUCCCGUCCGGAUCGCAA